UGUUCAUUCAGUGGAAAUUUGCAUUUUUGUCAUUGGGUCGGCCAGAAUACCUUCAGGACUCCGAUGUUGUGUCUUGUCAAUUUCAGAGAAGGGAUAUUUAUGGUGCUUGGGACCAGUACCUUGGACUGGAACAUUCUGACAAUGCCCCUAAAAGGUCAUUUGCAGCAAACCAGAAUCGUCAUACAUUUGAGAAACCAGUAAAAAUCUACAACUAGGAAAGAUCAGAUGAUUUACCACCAGUUAACUUCUGCAUUGGAACAUUAUUACCUGCUUUAUGAAAUUAGCAGAGAAACCGAAAGGCAGCUCACUGUCAGUUCUUGCAAGAGAUGAUACUAAAUCGUGGUUGUGAUCCUUGUUGAGGUGUCUAGAAGAGUAUUGACUUGGACCUGUGGUUGCUUAAUCGCUUUGGAACCUCUCCUUUUGCCUCAUUCCUAGGCUGAGGAUGUAAGCAUUUUUUGUUAAAAUCCAUUGUAAUCCAGUACAUAUGAUUUUGUGGGAGCCGUAUGUAAAAAGGGGGUAUAGCAGGGAAUUAUUUCUUUUUGGUCCUUUCUCAUGUUCUCCCUUCAAUUGUUUUGGUUACAUCAUAUGAGGGAAGGUAUCUGUAUGAUUCUCUAUCCAAUUAGUUGUUCUGGGUCUCCCAGGAUCUACGCAGUAGAAAUGAAUUUUUGGUAUGCAGUUCAACUUAGUUUGCUGGGAUCAA